rnacentral:rRNA from 1 species
UGAAAAUUGAAACGACACACAGUUAAUGUGUGUUCGAGUCUCUCAAAUUUUCGCAAUCAGAAGUGAAACAUCUUCGGGUUGUGAGGNCACUAUCGUUAACUGAAUACAUAGGUUAACGAGGCGAACCGGGGGAACUGAAACAUCUAAGUACCCCGAGGAAAAGAAAUCAACCGAGAUUCCCCCAGUAGCGGCGAGCGAACGGGGAGCAGCCCAGAGUCUGAAUCAGCUUGUGUGUUAGUGGAACGGUCUGGAAAGUCCGACGGUACAGGGUGAUAGUCCCGUACACCAAAAUGCACAGGCUGUGAACUCGAAGAGUAGGGCGGGACACGUGGUAUCCUGUCUGAAUAUGGGGGGACCAUCCUCCAAGGCUAAAUACUCCUGACUGACCGAUAGUGAACCAGUACCGUGAGGGAAAGGCGAAAAGAACCCCGGCGAGGGGAGUGAAAAAGAACCUGAAACCGUGUACGUACAAGCAGUGGGAGCACCUUCGGGUGUGACUGCGUACCUUUUGUAUAAUGGGUCAGCGACUUAUAUUCUGUAGCAAGGUUAACCGUAUAGGGGAGCCGCAGGGAAACCGAGUCUUAACUGGGCGUUAAGUUGCAGGGUAUAGACCCGAAACCCGGUGAUCUAGCCAUGGGCAGGUUGAAGGUUGGGUAACACUAACUGGAGGACCGAACCGACUAAUGUUGAAAAAUUAGCGGAUGACUUGUGGCUGGGGGUGAAAGGCCAAUCAAACCGGGAGAUAGCUGGUUCUCCCCGAAAGCUAUUUAGGUAGCGCCUCGUGAAUUCAUCUUCGGGGGUAGAGCACUGUUUCGGCUAGGGGGUCAUCCCGACUUACCAACCCGAUGCAAACUACGAAUACCGAAGAAUGUUAUCACGGGAGACACACGGCGGGUGCUAACGUCCGUCGUGAAGAGGGAAACAACCCAGACCGCCAGCUAAGGUCCCAAAGUCAUGGUUAAGUGGGAAACGAUGUGGGAAGGCACAGACAGCCAGGAUGUUGGCUUAGAAGCAGCCAUCAUUUAAAGAAAGCGUAAUAGCUCACUGGUCGAGUCGGCCUGCGCGGAAGAUGUAACGGGGCUAAACCAUGCACCGAAGCUGCGGCAGCGACACUAUGUGUUGUUGGGUAGGGGAGCGUUCUGUAAGCCUGCGAAGGUGACCUGUGAGGGUUGCUGGAGGUAUCAGAAGUGCGAAUGCUGACAUAAGUAACGAUAAAGCGGGUGAAAAGCCCGCUCGCCGGAAGACCAAGGGUUCCUGUCCAACGUUAAUCGGGGCAGGGUGAGUCGACCCCUAAGGCGAGGCCGAAAGGCGUAGUCGAUGGGAAACAGGUUAAUAUUCCUGUACUUGGUGUUACUGCGAAGGGGGGACGGAGAAGGCUAUGUUAGCCGGGCGACGGUUGUCCCGGUUUAAGCAUGUAGGCUGGUUAUCCAGGCAAAUCCGGAUAAUCAAGGCUGAGGUGUGAUGACGAGGCACUACGGUGCUGAAGUAACAAAUGCCCUGCUUCCAGGAAAAGCCUCUAAGCAUCAGGUAACAUCAAAUCGUACCCCAAACCGACACAGGUGGUCAGGUAGAGAAUACCAAGGCGCUUGAGAGAACUCGGGUGAAGGAACUAGGCAAAAUGGUGCCGUAACUUCGGGAGAAGGCACGCUGGUGUGUAGGUGAAGUCCCUGCGGAUGGAGCUGAGACCAGUCGAAGAUACCAGCUGGCUGCAACUGUUUAUUAAAAACACAGCACUGUGCAAACACGAAAGUGGACGUAUACGGUGUGACGCCUGCCCGGUGCCGGAAGGUUAAUUGAUGGGGUUAUCCGUAAGGAGAAGCUCUUGAUCGAAGCCCCGGUAAACGGCGGCCGUAACUAUAACGGUCCUAAGGUAGCGAAAUUCCUUGUCGGGUAAGUUCCGACCUGCACGAAUGGCGUAAUGAUGGCCAGGCUGUCUCCACCCGAGACUCAGUGAAAUUGAACUCGCUGUGAAGAUGCAGUGUACCCGCGGCAAGACGGAAAGACCCCGUGAACCUUUACUAUAGCUUGACACUGAACAUUGAGCCUUGAUGUGUAGGAUAGGUGGGAGGCUUUGAAGCGUGGACGCCAGUCUGCGUGGAGCCAACCUUGAAAUACCACCCUUUAAUGUUUGAUGUUCUAACGUUGGCCCCUUACCGGGGUUGCGGACAGUGUCUGGUGGGUAGUUUGACUGGGGCGGUCUCCUCCCAAAGCGUAACGGAGGAGCACGAAGGUUAGCUAAUCCUGGUCGGACAUCAGGAGGUUAGUGCAAUGGCAUAAGCUAGCUUGACUGCGAGCGUGACGGCGCGAGCAGGUGCGAAAGCAGGUCAUAGUGAUCCGGUGGUUCUGAAUGGAAGGGCCAUCGCUCAACGGAUAAAAGGUACUCCGGGGAUAACAGGCUGAUACCGCCCAAGAGUUCAUAUCGACGGCGGUGUUUGGCACCUCGAUGUCGGCUCAUCACAUCCUGGGGCUGAAGUAGGUCCCAAGGGUAUGGCUGUUCGCCAUUUAAAGUGGUACGCGAGCUGGGUUUAGAACGUCGUGAGACAGUUCGGUCCCUAUCUGCCGUGGGCGCUGGAGAAUUGAGGGGGGCUGCUCCUAGUACGAGAGGACCGGAGUGGACGCAUCACUGGUGUUCGGGUUGUCAUGCCAAUGGCACUGCCCGGUAGCUAAAUGCGGAAGAGAUAAGUGCUGAAAGCAUCUAAGCACGAAACUUGCCCCGAGAUGAGUUCU